CGCCUCUGGAAGUUGAAUUCCCCGCCACGCUGGGGCCGGGCUUUGUGGGUAAACUGGACUACUACUGACCGAGCUACCAGUGAGGUUAGGAAGUAAGGGACCUUCUUUAUACUCCUGAUAAAAUGUGAUAUCGACGGGAACGGAAACACGGUUAAAAUAGAAAAGCAUUUUACCCGCGGUGUACUUCAAGAAGAAUCAUUGGUAUAAUGGCUGGCUGAUCACCGGACAAAGAUACUGUGGAAAGAUUCUUCUAUGGACUGAAUUGUAUCACCCACCUCCAUCCCUCAAAUUCAUCUGUUGAAACCCUAACCCUCAAUGUUACUGUACUUGGAGAUUGGGCCUAUAAGGAGCCAUGGGAAGAUGCGUGAGAAGGUAGCCGUGUGCAAGCCAGGAAGAGAGUCCUCACCAGGAACCAAAUCAGUCAGUACCUUGAUCUUGACUUGCCAGCCUCCAGAACUGUGAGAAAAUAAAUGUAUGUUGUUUAAGCCACCCAGUCUGUGAUAUUUUAUAUGGCAGCCCAAGCUAACUAAUGUAGAUUCCUGUAAAGUCUAGAUGGCAUUCCCCCAUGCUGUUGCAAUUCCUGACUAUUUUUGCCUUGGACUGUUUUCUAAGGAACACUUUGAAACCCGUAAGUUUCUUAAUUAUGUUUACCAUGUUGAAAAUUUGUCGCUACUAUAAGCUAAUGGUCUCAUUAUGAAUAAUAUAAACUGUUUUAUUUCUGUACUUAUAAAUGUCUUUUGAUUAUCCAAAUUACAUACAGAUCAUCCUUGAUUUACAUGGGGUUCUGUCCUGAUAGACCCAUCAUAAGUUGAAAAUAUUAUUGUUGAAAAUGCAUUUAAUACAUGUAACCUACUGAACAUCAUAGCUUAGCCUCGCCUAUUUUAAAUGUGCUCAGAACACUUACCUUAGCCUACAGUUGGGCAAAAUCAUCUAAUACAAAGCCUAUUGUAUAAUAAGGUGUUGAAUAUAUCAUGUAAUUUAUUGAAUACUGUACUGACAGUAAAAAAUAGAAUGGUUUUAUAGGUACAGAAUAUCAUAUCCAAAUACUGUUUUAAUACGUAAUCAGUAUAAAAAUUACUGAGACAUUUGACAUUUUUAAAAUGUCUUCAAAAUCCUGCAUAUAUUUUACAUUUACACACAGGUCAGUUUGAAGUAGCCACAUGUCAGGUUCUCAAAUAGCCAAAUAUGGCUAGUGGCUUCUGUAUCGGACAGCUCCGUACCAUGCAGCUAGAAUUUCAGGCUCUGGAUUCAGAAAGAUCUAGAUUUGAAUUUUUUUUCCACAAAUUUCUAACUCUUUACCCUUGAGCCAAUUGAUUAACCCCUUAACACUUAACUCCUAUGUUCCUUUGUGUUAAGAAUAACGGCACCUGCUUUAAAGAGAUGCUUGAUGGAUCAAGGACUC